CGAAUUAGGCCCACCUCCUUUAAUAAAAGAAAAAGCAUGCGUCAGUAAAAUCUGCAAUCCAUCUGCAAGAAGUUUGACCAGAACUUUGGAAUGCAUCACAUGGCAUUACAAAUCUUGAGGUUAACUGUCUGGACAUAAACUGCUCUUGAUCACAAUAAACCAUAUGUAGGGUGAUUAUAUUUAUUGACGGAUUUUUACUACAGGCUGUGUUAUCCCUUUAAAAAGGAAAGCUGCCAAAAACUCACUUUUGUUCCAGUUGCCCGAAUCUUCUCCAAAUAGUCCCACACUAUCUGUGGACUUAUCCUUCCGCCAACUUGAAUGUUGUCUGGAAGGUCCUAUUGAAGAAAGAAUAAAAAAGAUCAAACCUUUCUGACAGGACUUAGUAUAAAAUACUUUUGCAGCAGCUAUUCAAACUCAAUAUGUUUUGCUGUGUACACUUUACCUCAGUCAAGUUGUCAAAUAAGCCUGAGACGGGGAAGGCUUUUGUCACGAGUUUUGCCACAGCGUGCAUAUGAAUGAAUCCUCGCCACAGGACCGUCAGGUUGGAAAGGAAAGCGGCCUCUUCAUCUCUUCCAGCUAUAUGACCCGACCUGUGUCGAAUAUACCGGCAAUGGAGCAAGCUUGCAAAAGAAAAAAGUUGCACACCAGAACCACGCAGAGAGUCAGAAAUACCUGCUUACCUUCCUUCAUAGCCUUGAGCGUUUCGGAAGCUCUCCUCUAAAACAGUGAGGUGCAGGUCGUCGUCGAUCGCAGGUUUUGUGCUCUUUGUCUCUUCUGCUUUGGUGGACUGCCUCCGGACCACUGUAGUAGCAACUUUGACCACCUUGGUUGGUGCCUCCUCCACAGGGGGUGCCAUACGACCUUAUUGAGAAAAAAAAAAAAA